AGUGAACGCUGGCGGUAGGCCUAACACAUGCAAGUCGAACGGCAGCACAGUAAGAGCUUGCUCUUACGGGUGGCGAGUGGCGGACGGGUGAGGAAUACAUCGAAAUCUACUUUUUCGUGGGGGAUAACGUAGGGAAACUUACGCUAAUACCGCAUAUGACCUACGGAUGAAAGCAGGGGAUCUUCGGACCUUGCGCGAUUGAAUGAGCCGAUGUCGGAUUAGCUAGUUGGCGGGGUAAAGGCCCACCAAGGCGACGAUCCGUAGCUGGUCUGAGAGGAUGAUCAGCCACACUGGAACUGAGACACGGUCCAGACUCCUACGGGAGGCAGCAGUGGGGAAUAUUGGACAAUGGGCGCAAGCCUGAUCCAGCCAUACCGCGUGGGUGAAGAAGGCCUUCGGGUUGUAAAGCCCUUUUGUUGGGAAAGAAAGGCAGCAGGUUAAUACCCCGCUGUUCUGACGGUACCCAAAGAAUAAGCACCGGCUAACUUCGUG
rnacentral:rRNA from 1 species